GCUCCUAUCGUCCAGCUCGGCCAAGGACACUGGGCUUUCAACCCAGGAACUCGGGUUCAAAUCCCGAUGGGAGCA
rnacentral:tRNA from 1 species